GCGGGAAUAGCUCAGUUGGUAGAGCACGACCUUGCCAAGGUCGGGGUCGCGAGUUCGAAUCUCGUUUCCCGCUCCA
rnacentral:tRNA from 197 species